rnacentral:rRNA from 1 species
UCUGAUUAGCUAGUUGGUGAGGUAAGGCUUACCAAGGCUUCGAUCAGUAGCUGGUCUGAGAGGACGACCAGCCACACUGGGACUGAGACACGGCCCAGACUCCUACGGGAGGCAGCAGUGGGGAAUUUUGGACAAUGGGGGAAACCCUGAUCCAGCCAUGCCGCGUGAGUGAAGAAGGCCUUCGGGUUGUAAAGCUCUUUCAGCCGGAAAGAAAUGGUUACGGUUAAUACCCGUGACUAAUGACGGUACCGGAAGAAGAAGCACCGGCUAACUACGUGCCAGCAGCCGCGGUAAUACGUAGGGUGCAAGCGUUAAUCGGAAUUACUGGGCGUAAAGCGUGCGCAGGCGGUUUUGUAAGUCAGAUGUGAAAUCCCCGGGCUCAACCUGGGAACUGCGUUUGAAAUAC